AGUUAUAGGGCAUAUUCCAAAUCUGUAAAAAUGGUUAAUAUUGAGCAUAUUAUAAAAUACAAACAUCACUAUUUAUGUGUAGUUUGUGUACUAAGAUAAUAUAGUGGACAGACAAGCUUCGCUUUGACUCAGUCCCUAUUCCUUUCCUAUUCUACACCCACCCAUUGGCUUGUCUAGUAUUAUUUCCUAUUCCUAUUCUGUAGCUCAGAAUCCUAGGAUUCCUAGGGUGGGCAUGCACCAAUGGAAUAUGUAAAUGUACCUAAGAGCGAUGACGAUAGAGUUCGUUCGCUUAAUCAUACUUUUAAAAAUGAAAUUCGAUUCCUUUUUGCUUAAUAGCCAGCAAACUUAACUAAACCACACACAUAGGCCCUGGAACACAAACAUAUUGGAUACGACAACAUGCAAGAUGUUGCAGAAAUCUACAACAUGUUAAGGUAUUAAAUAUCGUAGGUAGUGAGUUUAUGUCGCUGGACUCUUUGUCUGGUACGUCCAAUGAUAGUGUGUGUUAGACAUUGGAUGCUGGAAGAAAGAUGCUGUUUGAUUCCCAGUUCUUGGAGGAGUGAGAUGUUGUUUCGAAACUGUGUCCAGGGGCCUAAUUGUCUAACGCAAACGAUUGAAUUUGACAGUUGAAAUCGUACGUUUUUACUUGUCAAACGGCUAUUUCGGAUUGUGUAAGCCAAUGGAAAGCCAUCGGUUGGGCAUAGUUAGUUCAUUACGAUUAGAUCGUUAUUUUUAUACGAAGAGUGAAUGAUUUGAUAUGAUUUGACAGUUAUUUGCGAUUGUCUUCGAAUUGUGUAAAGUUUUAUGUUCAUGGCUUAUGUCAAAAACUUACGAUGGGUCUUGACUCUUGAGUCACCUUUGAUCGUAAAACGGACAAAUUGUGGAUGUCCAAAAUUCCAAAAUAAUUAUUUAUAUUUUAUUAAAUAUCUAAAAUUAAUAUUUUUUUCCAUUCUAAAUCUCUCAAUUCAGUCUCCCCGACCACAGUUAGCAUUUUUAGGACGAAACUUGGCGAAGUGUUUAGUGCUUUGUUUGUAAACAAUGAACUCUCUUAGAAAGAGUAAUAAAUAAUAUAUUCUUUGCAGUGAACCUAUAAAGUCAAAACAAUGAAGUUAAUUCAGUGCUAUUAAUCGAUUUAUAUAGGAUGCUGAGACUUGGACUCUGAGAGAAAGUGAGAAAAAGAAGAUACACACUCUAGAAAUGUGUUGUAGAAGAACGCUUGCAUAUCCUGGACACAGUUUCGAAACAACAUCUCACUCCUCCAAGAACUGGGGAUCAAACAGCAUCUUUCUUCCAGCAUCUAAUGUCUUACACACACUUCUUUGGACGUACUAGACAAAGAGACGAUAAGUCCAUAUCCUUAGAGAGACAUAAACUCACUACCUACGAUAUUUAAUACCUUAUCAUGUUGUAGAUUUCUGCGACAUCUUGCAUGUUGUUGUAUCCAAUGUGUUUGGAUUUGUGUUCCUGGGCUUAUGUGUGUGGUUUAGUUAAGUUUACUUAAGUUUGCUGGCUAUUAAGCAAAAAGGAAUCGAAUUUCAUUUUUAAAAGUAUGAUUAUGCCAAACGAACUCUUUCGUCAUCGCUCAUAGGAGAUUUGGAAUAUGCCCUAUAACUGCAGACUCCAAUAUUGCAAAUAGCACCUGCAAUACAGUGGAAUAACAUAUUGGUGUGCUGAAGAAAAGAUGGCAAAGGCUUUUAGCUGAUAGGAUAUUGUAAUGAUGACCCUGUUCUGUUCAAAUCAUAAAUGUGUGUGUAUUAUCAAAAUAUUUGCAUAGAUUGUGAAAUGCUGAUGAUAUUUAAUUUGGUUGGAUUUUGAUAUUUGAAAAUAAAAGAAUACUUACUUUGC